AGCGAACGCUGGCGGCAGGCUUAACACAUGCAAGUCGAGCGGGCACCUUUCGGGGUGUCAGCGGCGGACGGGUGAGUAACGCGUGGGAACGUGCCCUCUGGUUCGGAAUAACUCAGGGAAACUUGAGCUAAUACCGGAUACGUCCUUUUGGGGAAAGGCUUGCUGCCGGAGGAUCGGCCCGCGUCUGAUUAGCUAGUUGGUGAGGUAACGGCUCACCAAGGCGACGAUCAGUAGCUGGUCUGAGAGGAUGAUCAGCCACACUGGGACUGAGACACGGCCCAGACUCCUACGGGAAGCAGCAGUGGGGAAUAUUGGACAAUGGGCGCAAGCCUGAUCCAGCCAUGCCGCGUGAGUGAUGAAGGCCUUAGGGUUGUAAAGCUCUUUUAUCCGGGACGAUAAUGACGGUACCGGAGGAAUAAGCCCCGGCUAACUUCGUG
rnacentral:rRNA from 1 species